CCCUUAGAUGUUCUGGGCUGCACGCGCGCUACACUGGUGCGAUCAACAAGUUUUUCCUAUGUCGAUAGACACGGGUAAUCUUUUGAACUCGCAUCGUGAUGGGGAUAGAUUAUUGUAAUUAUUAAUCUUCAGCGAGGAAUUCCUAGUAGGUGCAAAUCAUCAGUUUGCAUCGAUUACGUCCCUGCCCUUUGUACACACCGCCCGUCGCUGCUACCGAUUGGUUGAUCUGGUGAAUUAUUCGGACUGCCGGCUGAAGGGGUUUCCUCAUCUGCCAGCGGAAAGUCUUGUUAACCCUAUCAACUAGAGGAAGCAGAAGUCGUAACA
rnacentral:rRNA from 1 species